rnacentral:rRNA from 1 species
AUUGAACGCUGGCGGCAUGCCUUACACAUGCAAGUCGAACGGCAGCACGGGAGCAAUCCUGGUGGCGAGCGGCGAACGAGUGAGUAAUAUAUCGGAACGUGCCCAGUCGUGGGGGAUAACGUAGCGAAAGCUACGCUAAUACCGCAUACGAUCUAUGGAUGAAAGCGGGGGAUCGCAAGACCUCGCGCGAUUGGAGCGGCCGAUAUCAGAUUAGGUAGUUGGUGAGGUAAAGGCUCACCAAGCCGACGAUCUGUAGCUGGUCUGAGAGGACGACCAGCCACACUGGGACUGAGACACAGCCCAGACUCCUACGGGAGGCAGCAGUGGGGAAUUUUGGACAAUGGGCGCAAGCCUGAUCCAGCAAUGCCGCGUGCAGGAUGAAGGCCUUCGGGUUGUAAACUGCUUUUGUACGGAACGAAACGGUGAGCUCUAAUACAGUUUGCUAAUGACGGUACCGUAAGAAUAAGCACCGGCUAACUACGUGCCAGCCGCCGCCGUAA